UCGAUUUGUUAAGGUACGUGCU
rnacentral:siRNA from 1 species